GUUUUAAACUAUACAAUGUUUUAUUAAGUUUGAAGACAUGAUUUGGAUAAACGUGAUUUUCAAAACCUGAUGGUUACUCUAUAGAAAUCUCUUCAAUAAUAAAAUUAUUUAAAAAAUAUUUUUUAUAUUUAUUUGAUAUAAUAUAAAAUUUAUAUAACAAGCAAAAGUAAGUAGCAAUCUAAUGACUUCUAAUCUAGCUACUAGUGCAUAU
rnacentral:lncRNA from 1 species